CUUUAGCCGACAAUUAAAUCAUGCUGCAGACGGCUGGUGACAUGGUGUAUUACCCAGAAUCUAUUUAAAAAUGAAACUCACUGGACUUAUGGGCUAUGAUGUGAAAACAGAUCCAUUACACUCCAGUUUCAUCUUGCAGACGAACGUUGCUGGAGGAAGAACACGACAGGCGACUGGAUUCCGUGCCUGCAUGCAAAUCCCGUCAGCUGGUGGAUUCACUGCCCAUUGCAACCACAGGCUGAGCGGAGCUCACAGAGCUCGAGCCUUAUUUUGUUCACACCAAAGCAGAGAGCAUGUUCUCUUAAAAGUCAAGCAGGCACAACGGUGCAUAUAAAGGCAAGUGUGUGUCCCCCUCAAUUAAACUCUAUCAUCCUCUUUUCAUCAUGGGGCCACAAAAGGAGAGAAAAGGCUUUGGCAGCCAACACCCAUGAGCCUUUGUGGAUCCAUUGGCUGGGACACCCAGUGUCAUGGGAUUCAACCAUCCCCCCCAUGGCUGUGUCCACAUAUCCUCACUGUAAAUGGGGCAAGAAGAAUCCUCAGUUCUCCCUGGCUCCACUUCCAAGCUGCCCAGACAGCAUGGAUGUAUGUGGAAAAACUUUUUGAAGCCUUUUUUUCUUCUUCUUCUUCUUCUUGGUUUUUUUUUUUUUCCCUUUCUAUUCCAAGACUUUGAUUGCAAAUCCUUUUG